rnacentral:lncRNA from 1 species
UUACUGAAAACCCACCAAUCUGAUCUUUUAUGAGAAGCUAGUCCCUGAAAAGGCCCUUGGAUCAAAGGUCAAAAACUUGAAGCACAGAGUGGGAUGUCAGAUGCCAAGAUUUAAAUCUAGUCAUUUGAUUCCAGAGCCCACAUUCUUAAAUAAUAUGCUACACUGACCUUUAUUGUCUUUAAACAUUAUCUUUAUUUAAUGUGUUUCAUAGAAAUUACUUCUCAGGUAUUCCUAAAUUUAUUUUUAAAAAUAAUGUCAUGCUAUCACUAUAAUAUAGUUUUUUAAAUUAACUUGAGAGGUAAUGUAGUAUGAUCAACUUCCUUAAUGGCCUUUUAAACUGGAAAUAACUAUUAAAUAUUUUAAUAUUAUAAAUUAACAGGCAAAAUGGUGAAAAAUCUAACAUCUGGUUCUUAAAAGUAAGUUGAAAUAUAAGAUCAGAUUUGAAUGCACAUGGAAAAAUAGAACUGGCAAAUAAUGCCAUAUUUGAAGAUCUUUUAGUAUUCUCUGGUAUUUUUCCUUUCAUUUCAAAAUUGUUAUAUUCUUUUUAAUGACUUCAAAUGAAUUAGGAAAUGUCAGGCUUCUAAAAAUCAAACAGAACGUCCAACCAGUAGAUUUCAUUCAGGGCAGUGGGAGCCUGUUCGGUUGUUUCCUCUUUCCCCCUCACUUUUAAAAAUCCUCAAUCACUGCCAUUUCUCUUCUCAGCUUUCACAACACUUUACAGGCAGCUGAAUGAAAGGGCAGAAGCUUCCUCUGAAACUCCUGUUAUUUCAGCUCUAAAAUCAGCUGAAAAGGAUGCCCUCCCCAGAGACAGAAAUGCAUUCCCUCCAUCAUGAACCUGCAAUGCCCUCAGGUUGUGGCAAGGGAGAAGUUUAGCACUUGAACCUAGAUAACGCUAUUUUUUUAAUCAAAGUGCACCAUUCUUGUUUCAUAUGGCCUGUGGCACAAUUUAUUUAAAACAAUAUGGUGCAUCAAAGAAGGUAAACAAUAAUAACAAUAAUAAUAAUAUAGGAAUAGCAAUGUGCACAUAAAUAAUAUAGGAAAACACAUGGCCUCAGUACCUUCAUGAAAUGGGACUUCAAUAUACAUAUUUCUUAUACAGCUUUAUGCAUGACUUCAUUGCACUUCACUGCUCUGUUGUGUCACUCUACCAAUAAACCUAUACAUCAUACUGAGUGAAGUAUGUUCACAGUCCCUUUACUU